ACGGGCAGACUAGAGUGCGGUAGGGGAGAUUGGAAUUCCUGGUGUAGCGGUGGAAUGCGCAGAUAUCAGGAGGAACACCGAUGGCGAAGGCAGAUCUCUGGGCCGUAACUGACGCUGAGGAGCGAAAGGGUGGGGAGCAAACAGGCUUAGAUACCCUGGUAGUCCACCCCGUAAACGUUGGGAACUAGUUGUGGGGUCCUUUCCACGGAUUCCGUGACGCAGCUAACGCAUUAAGUUCCCCGCCUGGGGAGUACGGCCGCAAGGCUAAAACUCAAAGGAAUUGACGGGGACCCGCACAAGCGGCGGAGCAUGCGGAUUAAUUCGAUGCAACGCGAAGAACCUUACCAAGGCUUGACAUACACGAGAACGGGCCAGAAAUGGUCAACUCUUUGGACACUCGUGAACAGGUGGUGCAUGGUUGUCGUCAGCUCGUGUCGUGAGAUGUUGGGUUAAGUCCCGCAACGAGCGCAACCCUCGUUCUAUGUUGCCAGCACGUAAUGGUGGGAACUCAUGGGAUACUGCCGGGGUCAACUCGGAGGAAGGUGGGGAUGACGUCAAAUCAUCAUGCCCCUUAUGUCUUGGGCUUCACGCAUGCUACAAUGGCCGGUACAAUGGGCUGCGAUACCGUAAGGUGGAGCGAAUCCCAAAAAGCCGGUCCCAGUUCGGAUUGAGGUCUGCAACUCGACCUCAUGAAGUCGGAGUCGCUAGUAAUCGCAGAUCAGCAACGCUGCGGUGAAUACGUUCCCGGGUCUUGUACACACCGCCCGUCAAGUCAUGAAAGUCGGUAACACCUGAAGCCG
rnacentral:rRNA from 1 species